UACGGGGGGGCAAGCGUUGUUCGGAAUUACUGGGCGUAAAGGGCUCGUAGGCGGCCAACUAAGUCAUACGUGAAAUCCCUCGGGCUUAACCGGGGAACUGCGUCUGAUACUGGAUGGCUUGAGUUCGGGAGAGGGAUGCGGAAUUCCAGGUGUAGCGGUGAAAUGCGUAGAUAUCUGGAGGAACACCGGUGGCGAAGGCGGCAUCCUGGACCGAUACUGACGCUGAGGAGCGAAAAGCCAGGGGAGCAAACGGGG
rnacentral:rRNA from 1 species